GGGGCUAUAGCUCAGUUGGUAGAGCGUUGCGUUCGCAAUGCAAAGGCCAGGGGUUCGAUUCCCCUUAGCUCCAC
rnacentral:tRNA from 1 species